GUAUUACCUUGUGAUACAAGUAUAAAGACAAUAUUGGUAUUUGCUUUUUUAUCAAAUAAAAUGAUUGUAAAAAUGUAAAAAAAAUAUAUUUAUAAUACGUAUUUUACUUUCACGUAUUCAUUGUGCACGUUAAGUAUGUAGGCAGAGUAUUUUGAAUGUAUCUUAUCAGUUUUAUGUACAAAUGUUUAAGAACUGUUAAAUAUUGGUUUUCCAUAUUGUAAUAAAACUGAUAAGGAUCAAUGUAUUCUAAAAUCCUGGUACAGGUAAAUAUGUAUCACUUGAUAAUGAAAAUUUAUCACUUCUGAUGGUAGAAAACUUCCUGAGUGCUCUAAUUUGAGUCCAUAGGUUUCAUUAUCCUUUUUGAAUUUUCGAUUCUUAUGAAAUAAUUUGUAUUUAAUGUAUUCGCCAUGCCUAAUUUUUUGUGUCACGAUAGUUAAGUAGGCUGUGUGUUUUAUGCUGUUUACAACAUAUUAUAAUUGUGAAAAACCAAAAACGAAGCGGUAUUUGUAAAUUAUAAAAAAAAUAAUGUAUCUUUCUUGCUUUAUCAUUGAAAAUUUAAUUUAUUAAGAGACAAUUUGUUAAGAAAUCAAUGAAUUUUACAAUAAAGAUCACAUAUUAUUUAUCAUUAAAUUUAAGGGAUAUGUCAAAACUAAUAUUGACUUUUACUAUUUACUUUUAAUGAAUAUUAUUCUAUACAAAUAGACUAUUUUGAAUAUUGUGAAAUAAGAACAAAUUAAAUGUUUCUAGUUAUAAGGGGAUGAUAAUAAAAGUUAUUUGUUAUUAAGAAAGUUAUUAACAUUUUUAAAACACUGUGGGAACACCCUAUAUGACACAAUGGUGAACUUGAUGGUCUUUUAACUAGAUUAUUUAAUUUUUUUACUAGGACGUUAAAUAUUCUAGUCGUCUAUAUGAGGGACCGUCGUCAAUAUAAUUUUAACUCAUUUAUAUGCAAUACAAUAAAAAUAGUAUCUAAUCUUAAACUAAUUUGAUUUUAUUGAUGUUCUUAGUUUUCAAGAUAGGGUUUUUGUGUAUAUCUGUUGGAAUAUCACUUAUUUUGUUGAAUACCUAUAAUAUAUUCCAGACGGACGUUUGUUUGAAUACAUGUUUUAUUAGUUGUGCACGUUAGGUUAGCAAUCUAUGUAGUUUGUAUAGAUAUUAUGUAAACUCACUUAACUUAGUAUUAACCUUU